AUGCAAACACUUGAACAAGGUUUAGAUGUUUUAGAAAUAAUGAGAAAUAUAAAUGUUUUUGUCGGAAAAUAUUUGUACAAUUUAAACAAUCAAGUAUUCGUUGAAGAAUCAAGCAAUAAUAAGCAUUUAAACACCAUUAAUAUUUCGCAUGUGGCCAACUCUAUUCGAACUCACGGAAUAGGUAUAAUGAACACUACUGUAAAUUUUACGUAUCAGUUUUUGCAAAAAAAGUUUUAUAUUUUUUCGCAAUUUAUGUUUGAUGAGCACAUAAAAUCUCGUUUAUUAAAGGAUAUGAGAUUUUUUUCCGAACAUAAGUUAGAACUGAGUCAAAUGUACCCGUAUGAGCGGGCGGAUAAAUUCAACAUCGGUAUUAGAAAUUUAGGAUUGAAUCAAAAUGGUUUAAGUUAUUUAGAUUUGUUCCGAAAACUAAUCACACAAAUCGGUAAUGCCAUGGGUUACGUCCGAUUGAUCCGCUCAGGUGGGCGUCGUUUUCUCGCCGAUAGCACUUGUUUUAUCCCAAAUUUAAAAGAGAUCGACCAAUUAAACGAGCUUAUAACCCAGGAAGCAGCGUCUGAAUUGACGAAAAAAGCCGCAAACUGUUUAAUGAGCGAUAUAAAAACACUUGUUGAAAAUUUUGAAGAAGCAACCGAGUAUUUUAAGCUACUUGUUAAGGUUUUUAUACCAGUUUUCCGAAACCCGAGUAAUAUACACUUGAAAAAUUUUUACAUCAUUGUACCACCACUGACAAUAAAUUUUGUUGAACAUUCAUUGACUUGCAAAGAGCGAUUGAACAAGAAAAAUAAAAAUGAUGCCGCAUUCACCGACGAUGGAUUUGUUAUCGGACUUGCUUAUAUUAUUGAACUUUUGGGACAAGAAAGUCAAUUAAAUUCACUGCACUGGUUUAACUCAGUUCAAGCCAAGUUUGAACUUGAUAAAAAGAAAAUUGAAGAACAAAAAGCCGUUGCGAGUAAACAAGACGAUAAAUUGCAACAAACCUUGCAACUUUCGGAGAAAAGAAUUAAUGCUUUUCAACGGGAAUUUCGUUUACUUUAUUAUAGUUUCAGUAGUGCUAGGAUAUUUUUCCAGGCAUGAUAAUUUUAUGCCUAAAGUGCAAUACAUAAAUAACUACGUACACGCCUAUUAGUGCAAUUAACUAAACUUAAAUGCAUUCCCAAUAUUUCUUCUAUUCAUAUUAUAUUUUAUUAAAUACCAAACUGUUUGUGUAAUCUUUUAUAAAAAUAGAAAUAAAAAAAAGAAAAAUGCGCUUUAUUUUGAAAACAAGCAAAUAUCAAAAUCAGUGCGCGCAUGUAUUUUGUGAUCAUCUUUUGUUUUUUUAUUAGUUUUGACAGUUGACACGUGUAUGAAGUUGUAAAAAUGAGUUCUUUAAGACUCCAGAAACGCCUUGCGGCGUCUGUUAUGCGAUGUGGCAAGAAAAAAGUUUGGCUGGACCCUAAUGAAAUUAACGAAAUUGCCAACACCAAUUCAAG